rnacentral:tRNA from 1 species
GCCCUGAUAGCUCAGUCGGUAGAGCAGAGGACUGAAAAUCCUCGUGUCGGUGGUUCGAUUCCGCCUCAGGGCAC